rnacentral:piRNA from 1 species
UACUUCACAGAAAGAAAAGAAAUCAAAA